rnacentral:rRNA from 1 species
UACGUAGGGUGCGAGCGUUAAUCGGAAUUACUGGGCGUAAAGCGUGCGCAGGCGGUCUGUUAAGACCGAUGUGAAAUCCCCGGGCUUAACCUGGGAACUGCAUUGGUGACUGGCAGGCUUUGAGUGUGGCAGAGGGAGGUAGAAUUCCACGUGUAGCAGUGAAAUGCGUAGAUAUGCGGAGGAACACCGAUGGCGAAGGCAAUCCCCUGGGCCUGCACUGACGCUCCAUGCACGAAAGCGUGGGGAGCAAACAGG